rnacentral:misc_RNA from 1 species
GAUGAAGAACGUAGCGAAAUGCGAUAAGUAAUGUGAAUUGCAGAAUUCAGAGAAUCAUCGAAUCUUUGAACGCACCUUGCGCCCUUUGGCCAUUCCGAAGGGCAUGCCUGUUUGAGUAUCAUGAACACCUCAACUCUCAUGGCUUGCCAUGAUGAGCUUGGACUUUGGGGGUCUUGCUGGCCUGUGGUCGGCUCCUCUCAAAUGAAUCAGCUUGCCAGUGUUUGGUGGCAUCACAAGUGUGAUAACUAUCUGCGCUCGUGGUUUCCAUCAGAUAACCUCCAGUGAUGGAGGUUCGCUGGGGCUCAUAAAUGUCUCUCCUAAGUGAGGACAGCUCUUUUAAUGUUUGAUCUCAAAUCAGGUAGGACUACCCGCUGAACUUAAGCAUAUCAAUAAGUGGAGGA